GCUGCUGAUCACAGUAGGGGCAUGACCCCCUACGGGCUUAUCACAAGUCAAGGGGAAAAGGGCCCACAGAAAAGAAGGGAGCCCAGAUAUGCACUGCAACAUAUUUGUAUCAAUACCAUAACUUGUGAGAUAAUAGAAGAAUCUGGAAAUCUUCGGUCGCCCUUCCAACAUUGUACACAUACCAUUUUACACCAACGUGGGUGUCGCUAACUCGUCAAGUUGUCCUUCAUUAACUAUACAAUGGCGAUCGAAACCUAACAAUCGAUCGAUAAAUUCAAUAUGUUGUAGACUCCUUCCUUGAAGACGCCGUCUAUUGAAAUCCCUCCUUCAAGUGAUGUUUUUGACCGCUAGAUGGCAGUAUCUAUUUAUUUGCUAAAUAAACGGACAACUAUCGAAAAAGAGUUGUCUAUUAAAAAGUGGGUCAAACGGCGUUCCGUAUAUAGGAGUUAUAUACCUUACUAUAUCUAUGCCUUGGUCAUUACAAUAGGUUAAAGGAUUAACCAUGUUGUUCAUCAACUCAAGCUCAAAGAAGUACAAGGUAUUUGAGAUUUCUGUUGCCCCACCUACAUUCAGUGUUACUUCAGAAACACUACAAGUAUGUUUGCUGACUACAUGUAUAUAUUGUUGAAGCAACCACUGCUGCAGGACUGUAGGAUAGCAUAAGAAAAUAAAGUUGGAUGAAAGGUUUGAUACAGAAGCUUUUGAGUGAUGGUGGAUUUGGUAGAGGUGGAUAGUGUUUUUGAACCAUUGAUAUAUAGUUUACUGUAUUGGUUGUUUGUUUGUUUGUUUGUUGUUUUCUUUCCUGGCAUCCUACUGAAUUCCAUUGAUUAAAGUUUGUGGCAAAGUGUGUUGUAUAAGAUAAAUCUAAUCCUAACAAUGUUGGAGAUCCCUUUUGUCAGGCAGGAAGCAUUGUUAUUUAUGUCGUUCAGGUAUAUUAUUCACAUCCAUGCUUUCGAUUCGUGAAAAAAGUAAGACGUGUUGGGAAUUGGAUCUUGAUAUUGCAGAUCCCUCUUUUAAUCAAGGAAAUAUUGAUAAUUUAAGUGUCCUUAAAUUAUUUUAACAAAAUGUUUAUUGCAUUUGGUUACUUUCUUGAAUUUAUUUAUUUUUUCUUAUAGAAAUACCAAGAUAUAUUGUUCUUCCACCCUUCAUACCCGUCAGGUUGCUUCAUGCUUCAUGUUGCGUUCGCGAACCAAUUUGAGCUACGAGAUGGCGCUUGCUUAACCUGUGCGAAAUGUAUUUUUUUCCGAACAAGCAUGGCUCAAGGAGCACGGUUUAACGCCGAUUUGUGUUUUUUUUACAGGAAAAGAUUUUUGAGUAUGUAGAAAUAAAUUUUCACCGACACUGCAGUGCAUCAAUGGCUGAAGGAAUGUUGGGUUGAAGAUUUGAUGGAUUAACUUUUGAAUGAUGGUGACAUGUGGGGCCAGAAGAAAUUGGGGGGAGAAAGGCAAUCCUAAACAAUAUAAGAGAUCUCUCUUAUCACCUGAUAAAUGUUGAUAAUUUUGGUGUAUUGUAGGAUAAUAUGAUGGAAUUGAAGGAGAAUGUGACACGAUACGUUGGUUUGGCGUCAGUAAUUUAACCAGUAUGGAAGUUACUUGUUCUUUGUUACCAAUUUACUCGUGGACUGAAAUCAGUAGCAGGCCAUGGAAUGCUGAUGAAUCAUCUGUAAGUGGAAAUUGUUAUGGAGGACAUGCUGUGGCCAUUGAGAAUACCACCUUGAAAAAAACAGAUGAUGGUGUUUGUUGGCAUUGUUUUUGUGGGAGUGUUUUCGAAGAUAGCAUGGAGUCAGAUUGUGAAAAAAAUUACUUUGAAUGAGGCAAUAAGAUUUUUUUUUUCUAUAGGGGGUUGUUAAUCAUCUUUAUGAACAGUCUAAAGCAGCAUAUGUUUUAUUCUGCAUUGGCCUAUUCAAAACAUUUGAUGAAUUGAAAAUUGAUCCCACUCAUCAUCCAUUGGUAGCUAACCAGAAUGGAAAUUGCUUUUUCUAUGUUAUCAACUAGCAGUGGGUUUAGAUUUAUCAUGGCGUACAGUUACUUCGACAUCUCUUAUAAUUCGAUGAAACAUGAUCUGUUAUGACCAAAUUUGAACGCUGGCCUAGAAUAAAAUAAUAGUUUUCCGGUUACUUAUGCAAUCUCUGAAUAGAACGGAAGCAAGAAUAUCGAUUCAGAGAUGAACAUAGUAAUCACAAAGA
rnacentral:lncRNA from 1 species